rnacentral:rRNA from 1 species
GUGAAGCGGCAACAGCUCAAAUUUGAAAUCUGGCUCACGCCCGAGUUGUAAUUUGCAGAGGAUGCUUCGGGCGCGGCGCUUUCCAAGUCCCCUGGAACGGGGCGCCACAGAGGGUGAGAGCCCCGUCUGGUUGGCCGCCAAGCCUGUGUGAAGCUCCUUCGACGAGUCGAGUAGUUUGGGAAUGCUGCUCUAAAUGGGAGGUAGACCCCUUCUAAAGCUAAAUACCGGCCAGAGACCGAUAGCGCACAAGUAGAGUGAUCGAAAGAUGAAAAGCACUUUGAAAAGAGGGUUAAAAAGUACGUGAAAUUGUUGAAAGGGAAGCGCUUGUGACCAGACGUGUGCCGGGCGUUCAGCGGGCGUUCUCGCCCGUGUAUUCGCCCCGGUGCAGGCCAGCGUCGGUUCGCGCGGGGGGAUAAAGGCGUCAGGAACGUAGCUCUUUCGGGAGUGUUAUAGCCUGGCGCGCCAUGCCCCCGCCUGGACCGAGGUUCGCGCUCCGCAAGGACGCUGGCGUAAUGGUCCCCAGCGGCCCGUCUUGAAACACGGACCAAGGAGUCGAGGUUUUGCGCGAGUGUCUGGGUGUCAAACCCGCACGCGUAAUGAAAGUGAACGCAGGUGGGAGCUUCGGCGCACCACCGACCGAUCCUGAUGUUCUCGGAUGGAUUUGAGUACGAGCGUAGGGCCUCGGACCCGAAAGAUGGUGAACUAUACUUGGAUAGGGUGAAGCCAGAGGAAACUCUGGUGGAGGCUCGCAGCGGUUCUGACGUGCAAAUCGAUCGUCAAAUCUGAG